CAUCACCGCGAGCCGGCGUCAGAAGGACGUUUCCCUUAGGUAUUCCCGGCGCGCGCCUCUCCCUCGCGACGCAGGACGCUUCUGAUAUUGGACAGAUGUUUGAUGGGCUUGAGUGGAAUAGGGACGUUUGAAACGCUGCCUUCGCCAGCACAGAUGAGACGGAUGGACGAGUCCUGAAACAUGUGGAAGAAGGAAAUGCAUCUGCCUCCGUAAACAUCUCUGAUAAUGAUGACUAGGGCAGAAGGGAUGUCUGACACAUCAUGCAACCAGAGCAGAUUUUUUUCUCAUUUCCGUUUUUUUUUUUUUUUUCCAAUAGGCUGAGCAGAAAUUGCCCCUAUACGUUUUGAAGGUUAUGUUUUGCAAACUUGUUUAGUUUGCAAAAGGUUGUCAUUGUGACUCAUGUGGAGUAUGGCUGUUUUGACCACAGGGGAUUCUAACAUGUUUGUUACUCAGCACUUGACAUUGCCCCUAGUCCAGCAUCUAUCCUUCGCUCGCAUUAUAAUGUCGUCCUUUUACAGUUCUAGCUCAAUGUCCAGUUGACUUGAAAUGUUUAAUUUCUGUCUUUUUCCUGAUGUAUUUCAUGCUCUGCCUGCAUUGGCGCUUAUUGCAUCUUUUAAACAGACACUGUGAUCAGUACAACUUAUUAAAAAUUUCGCUGA